UGUUAUGGAUGAGCAAAGGAAGUGGUUUCUGAGAUGGAAACUACUCCUGGUGAAGACGCUAUGAA
rnacentral:pre_miRNA from 2 species